rnacentral:rRNA from 1 species
AUUGAACGCUGGCGACAUGCCUUACACAUGCAAGUCGAACGGCAGCACGGGUGCUUGCACCUGGUGGCGAGUGGCGAACGGGUGAGUAAUACAUCGGAACAUGUCCUUUAGUGGGGGAUAGCCCGGCGAAAGCCGGAUUAAUACCGCAUACGAUCUACGGAUGAAAGCGGGGGACCUUCGGGCCUCGCGCUAUAGGGUUGGCCGAUGGCUGAUUAGCUAGUUGGGGGGGUAAAGGCCUACCAAGGCGACGAUCAGUAGCUGGUGUGGGAGGACGACCAGCCAAGCUGGGAAGGGGCGCCGACCCAAUGCCCUAGGGGGGGCAGAAGUGGGGAUUUUUGGACAGGGGGGGAAAGCGUCUUCCAGCAAUGCCGGGUGUGGGAAGAAGGCCUCGGGGUUGUAAAGCCCUUUUUGCCGGAAAAAAAUCCUGGGCCCAAAAAGGGCGGGGGGGUACGGGAACCGGAAAAAAAGGCCCCGGUUAACAAGGU